AUAUGUGAUGAUUUUAAUUAUAGGAAUUGCCGUCUGAACGAUGAAUGACGAUAAUUUUUCUUCCUGAUG